CAUGUCCUUUUGCAAAUUAAUAGAAGGUCUGACCUGCCCAGUGAUUUAUUUAACGGCCGCGGUAUACUGACCGUGCAAAGGUAGCAUAAUCAUUAGUCUUUUAAAAGAGGGCUGGAAUGAAAGGUUUGACGAAGUAUUAACUGUCUCAUUUUAUUUGAAUUUAAAAUUUAACUUUUGAGUCAAAAGGCUUAAAUUUAAUUGGAAGACGAGAAGACCCUAUAGAGCUUUAUAAUAACAAUUUAAAAUUUUAUAUAUAAUUUUAUUUUAAAAACCUUAUUAUUUUGUUGGGGUGACAAAAAAAUAAAAUUAACUUUUUUAGUUAUUUAACAUUAAUAUAUGAUUAUUAGAUCCAUUCAUAUUGAUUAUUAGAUUAAGUUACCUUAGGGAUAACAGCGUAAUCCUCCUCCAGAGUUCAUAUUUACAGGUAGGGCUUGCGACCUCGAUGUUGGAUUAAGAUAAUAAUUAGGUGCAGCCACUUAAUUUAUAGGUCUGUUCGACCU
rnacentral:rRNA from 1 species